GAAAUCAAGUGUUGGUGGAGCCUGUGGGGUGAUUUGAGGCGACCCAUACUUGGUUUCAAGGCUCUGUGGGAAUCUCCAGGGG
rnacentral:pre_miRNA from 12 species